rnacentral:tRNA from 1 species
AGCCCCGAGGUGUCAAACACAUUAGAUUGCAACCCUAAAGAGGCAGACUAACGUCUGCCGGGGCUU